AAGAACAAGGAGGAGAGUAACUGUUCAUCCCUUGACGGUAUCUAACCAGAAAGCCACGGCUAACUACGGGCCAGCAGCCGCGGUAAUACGUAGGUGGCAAGCGUGGUCCGGAUUUAUUGGGCGUAAAGCGAGCGCAGGCGGUUUCUUAAGUCUGAUGUGAAAGCCGCCGGCUCAACCGGGGAGGGUCAUUGGAAACUGGGAGACUUGAGUGCAGAAGAGGAGAGUGGAAUUC
rnacentral:rRNA from 1 species